rnacentral:misc_RNA from 1 species
UACGGGGAUGAUUUCCGUAAAGGUGCAUGAGUGGUGUUUGGUUUGUUGCGGAUGGUUGGAUGUCUGCUUGCGCAGCAACUUCCAUGCGGGCUUACCUCUUCAAUUGUGCUACAAGCCUUGUUUGGCUUGCAUCGUUCGGUGGGUUUCUUGUGUUGCUUACCUAAUCGAUGGCAUUGUUUGUCCCUAUAAGUUAGAUUUUGUAACACGUUGCUUGCGGCGUGAUACAAACGAUGAAGCAACCUUUGUUGUUCAACCUGUUGCUGCUCAUGCAUCGAUGGCUUGGCCCAUGAAGUGUUGAUUGGUCCCUUGGAUAUGGAACAUGAUGUGGGCACAAGUUCGUCAAAGAUCUUGAAUUUGCCCUU